CAAGAACGAGGCCCCUCCCCCCGGUCCCUCUCCUACCCUUGCCUAUCGUCACCUUUUUGUUGCUUCCUCGGCGGUGCUGACGGCCCGCCGCCAGGGACGUUGAUAACAAAUCCCUUUGCAACAAGCAUAUCGAAUCUCUGAUAAAACCUGAAUCGUA
rnacentral:misc_RNA from 1 species